CCUGUCUUAGUGGCGGACGGGUGAGUAACGCGUGGGCAACCUGCCCUGUACCGGGGGAUAACACUUAGAAAUAGGUGCUAAUACCGCAUAAUAGGGAAUACCGCAUGGUAAUCCUUUGAAAACUCCGGUGGUACAGGAUGGGCCCGCGUCUGAUUAGCCAGUUGGCGGGGUAACGGCCCACCAGAGCGACGAUCAGCAGCCGGCCUGAGAGGGUGGACGGCCACACUGGGACUGAGACACGGCCCAGACUCCUACGGAAGGCAGCAG
rnacentral:rRNA from 1 species